rnacentral:misc_RNA from 1 species
ACGAGCGCUGCCUUCGGGCAACCCUCCCACCCUAUGUUAACGUACCUGUUGCUCUGGCAGCUUGCCGGAGCCUCUAAACUCUAUUAAGAUGUCGUCUGAGUAUACAAACAAAAUUUGUCA